GGGUCGUUAGCUCAGCUGGUAGAGCAUCGGGCUUUUAACCCGCUGGUCGUAGGUUCGAGUCCUACACGACCCACCA
rnacentral:tRNA from 1 species